CUUCUGAACGCCCCCGUUGAGAAACACUGAUGUAGAGGGUCAGGGGAGACUUUUAUGCGUUUUAUUCAGGAACAUUAAUUUCUCAACUGUGUUUACAGGCUUUGGGCGUCAUCGGUGACGUCAUCGGUCUGAAAUCGAAACUAAACUCAGUUGACGGAAAACUUCCCGGAGUACUGGACGCUCUCUCCGGAGCCUCGGUACAUCACGCAACAUUUCUGUGGAGUCUCUGACUGGGAAUCAGCUAUGAAGGUGUGGACUCUGCUAUGAGUCAGUGUGAGGACAGAGAGGAGGGAGUCCCUCCCCUCUAAAGCCACUCUGUGUGGGGACCAUGACAGCCAGACCAAAGCUCAGAGGAGGAAUCUGGAAGAACCUGAACCCAGCUGUCUAUCCAUGAAGAGUGACCAGUCUAUAGAUGGUUUAAUAGACUUCAAAGAUGGACGCCCCCUCUGAUGAUCAAAGGUGAGGA